ensembl:lncRNA
GCACUCCACAUGAAGCCCUCAUGGGGAAGAGAGAACUAGAGGGAUGGGACAGAGUAAGGAGAAGGAGGAGUAUGGUAUACAGGCCCUGGGUAUUGCAGAGAUGUCAAGGACAGUGAAGAGGCAGAUAUCAGAGGCAUUCCUAGCAUGCUGACUUCAUGAGGUCUGCUGUAGCUACAGGAUAGCAGUGCUUGACAACUUGGCAUGUGGGAUUGAAGGACACACUGUACCCCGUGUUGUUGUGUGCUUGACAACUUGGCAUGUGGGAGCAAAGGACACACUGUGCCCCGCGUUGUUUUGUGCUUGACAACUUGGCAUGUGGGAGUGAAGGACACACUGUGCCCCGCGUUGUUGUGUGCUUGACAACUUGGCAUGUAGGAGCGAAGGACACACUGUGCCCUGCGUUGUUGUGUGCUUGACAACUUGGCAUGUGGGAGCGAAGGACACAAUGUGCCCCGCGUUGUUGUGUGCUUGACAACUUGGCAUGUGGGAGCGAAGGACACACUGUGCCCCGCGUUGUUGUGUGCUUGCAGUGCAAAUUUUCCCCAUUGAGCAGUAGACUGUAUCACGGUGACAUCUUGAUGGUUACUACCAAUAUUACAAGUUAUUUCUUGUGUAGGAUGCUAUCCUAUUUGAAAUAUAAUCAAGUGGGGUGGAACAAAUUGGGGCAUAAGCUAC